rnacentral:rRNA from 1 species
UACGUAGGGUCCAAGCGUUAAUCGGAAUUACUGGCGUAAAGCGUGCGCAGGCGGUUGUGUAAGUCAGAUGUGAAAUCCCCGGGCUCAACCUGGGAAUUGCAUUUGAGACUGCACGGCUAGAGUGUGUCAGAGGGGGGUAGAAUUCCACGUGUAGCAGUGAAAUGCGUAGAGAUGUGGAGGAAUACCGAUGGCGAAGGCAGCCCCCUGGGAUAACACUGACGCUCAUGCACGAAAGCGUGGGGAGCAAACAGG